UUCCGUAGGUGAACCUGCGGAAGGAUCAUUACCGAGUGCGGGCCCUCUGGGUCCAACCUCCCAUCCGUGUCUAUCUGUACCCUGUUGCUUCGGCGUGGCCACGGCCCGCCGGAGACUAACAUUUGAACGCUGUCUGAAGUUUGCAGUCUGAGUUUUUAGUUAAACAAUCGUUAAAACUUUCAACAACGGAUCUCUUGGUUCCGGCAUCGAUGAAGAACGCAGCGAAAUGCGAUAAUUAAUGUGAAUUGCAGAAUUCAGUGAAUCAUCGAGUCUUUGAACGCACAUUGCGCCCCCUGGUAUUCCGGGGGGCAUGCCUGUCCGAGCGUCAUUGCUGCCCUCAAGCACGGCUUGUGUGUUGGGCUUCCGUCCCUGGCAACGGGGACGGGCCCAAAAGGCAGUGGCGGCACCAUGUCUGGUCCUCGAGCGUAUGGGGCUUUGUCACCCGCUCCCGUAGGUCCAGCUGGCAGCUAGCCUCGCAACCAAUCUUUUUAACCAGGUUGACCUCGGAUCAGGUAGGGAUACC
rnacentral:rRNA from 1 species